ensembl:lncRNA
UCACUCAAGGGGGUGCUGCUGGGUAGACAAGACAUCUGGGUAGUCUGGUGGAUAGUGUCUUUGAGCUGCCCUUUGCUCAGAACCGGGGUGGAGGUGGCUGUGGUGUGGGGCAUGGGGUCCAGCCAGGUCACUUGGAGCAGUGAGCAGUGCAAGCCCUGCCAGUUGCCUUUGCAUUCCACAGCACGGGAGAUUCAUUGCUGGGGAACUGUGACCUCUUGUGCUGCACCUGAAGGCUGCCCUCUGCUAGCCAGCUGCACCCCAGUGAUCUGUGUGGCCCUCCUGGGGUAGGGGUGAGGUGCCAUCUCUGUUAUGUGCACAGAGCUUGCAGGGGGCUGAGAACUGCACAGGUGAGGUUCUACCAUGACCCUUCUUGACUAUGCUAAGCUUUAAGGGACAGGGAGGUGGCUGUCACUGUACCCCUGGGGUGACCUUAACCAGACUAUAGCUUGCCAUGUCCUGGGUUUGUCUGUAGUCCCAGCCCAGAGGGAGAAAACAGAUUGGGUAAGAAAAGUUGGAAGUGACUCAAAUGUACUUUUUCUCCAUUCCUCAUACAGGAGCCAAUCCUCCCUUUUGUCUGUCAGACCCCUUUAAAUGCUGUUGAUGGCAACCAAGCAUCACAUCUCCCGCUUGAGAGAUCAGCAUUUAACAUUCAAUAACUGCUCUGUGUAAGGUAGUGCCAUGUCAGCUUACAUGGGAGAAUUGGAUGCAACUUAUUGUCCCUAGGAUAGUUCCAGUUCUCCCAGACAGCAGAUGGGAUGCUGGAGGCUGUAGUCUCCCAGGAUGGCACACUGGAAAUGAAACAGGAAAUCCAGUAGCUGGUCAGUGUUGCAGCCUGAGUUUGAGCCCUCUCCAAAGGUACUUUGGAGUUUGUCCUUUGGAUUCCAAAUGGUGAGCCUGCACAGUAGGUUUUUUCCAUGUGACUGCUGCUGAAAACAGAGCUCAGCAGAGGUAAUGGCUGAUCCCUGUCCUGUGGCCGUGUAGCUUCUUUUCAUCUGGUGAAAAGGUGAGGGCUUUGCUAUGAAGCAGAGCUGGACUUGGAGCAGAAGGGUUUAUCAGCUCUUCCCUUGGUUCAUGAUGUAGAGGAGGACAUUAGGCAGGAGUGACUUUUGUCCUGUAAACAUCAGUGCAGCUGUUCCUGCUCUGAACAGGGAUGGAGCAGCACUGUAGGGGUCCAUCAGGUCUGCCAGGCUUUGGUUUUGUGUGGCUUCCCCCUGCUACUAUCACUCCAGCAUGUAAUGAAUGUGCAUGUGAGCAGAUCUUGUUAGGAAACUAGACUGAGAGUACCCCUGGGGGUGAUGAGCUCCCUGUCCAAGCCUGUCAGACACCCAUUCAGCCGCUGACAAUACAGGGUCUGUGAUCCUCAUGGGGUUCAGGCUUCGGUUCCCUCUGGAAUAGGUCUGGUAGGGCUGCAGAUAACAUCUGCUGUUGAAACUGAAAAAAGCGAUGGUUCGUGCCUAAGUCAGCUGAUUCCUUCUUGUCUAACACAGCAUUUCUUCUUGGGUUGAGUGUUUAGGGAAGCAGUGAAGUUGCCAGGGAGGACAGGGCUGUGAAGUGUAGAGCUGUGGCAGCACACAGGAGGGUGGAGCAGAUGGGAAGCCCCACUUGGUGUAGUGUAGGAAAAGGUAUUUAUUUUCUCAUCCUCAGAAAAUUGCAUUGCCUUUUCCUGCCGUGCAACAGAGACAACAGCCAGACAGGUGGCAGUCGUUCCAUUACACCAGAGAACUCCUAUCCAUAAGUGCAGUUACUGUGGCAACCGCUGGCUGGAUGAUGUCAGCUGCAACCUGCUGAGCAUUGCCUGCUCAGGGCAAGGCUUCAGACCCUUAGUUAUCUUCGUGCCCUUUCUCUGGACUCCCUCCAGUAUGUCUCUGACUCUCUUGUACUAAGGAGCCCAG